rnacentral:rRNA from 1 species
CUAUGUUUCUUGGAACAGGACGUCACAGAGGGUGAGAAUCCCGUGCGAUGAGAUGCCCAAUCCUAUGUAAGGUGCUUUCGAAGAGUCGAGUUGUUUGGGAAUGCAGCUCUAAGUGGGUGGUAAAUUCCAUCUAAAGCUAAAUAUUGGCGAGAGACCGAUAGCGAACAAGUACAGUGAUGGAAAGAUGAAAAGAACUUUGAAAAGAGAGUGAAAAAGUACGUGAAAUUGUUGAAAGGGAAGGGUUUGAGAUCAGACUCGAUAUUUUGUGAGCCUUGCCUUCGUGGCGGGGUGACCCGCAGCUUAUCGGGCCAGCAUCGGUUUGGGCGGUAGGAUAAUGGCGUAGGAAUGUGACUUUGCUUCGGUGAAGUGUUAUAGCCUGCGUUGAUGCUGCCUGCCUAGACCGAGGACUGCGAUUUUAUCAAGGAUGCUGGCAUAAUGAUCCCAAACCGCCCGUCUUGAAACACAGAC